rnacentral:rRNA from 1 species
UACGUAGGCAGCAAGCGUUGUUCGGAAUUACUGGGCGUAAAGAGCUCGUAGGCGGUUUGUCGCGUCGAAUGUGAAAACCCGGGGCUCAACCCCGGGCCUGCAUUCGAUACGGGCAGACUAGAGUUCGGUAGGGGAGUCUGGAAUUCCUGGUGUAGCGGUGAAAUGCGCAGAUAUCAGGAGGAACACCGGUGGCGAAGGCGGGACUCUGGGCCGAUACUGACGCUGAGGAGCGAAAGCGUGGGGAGCAAACAGG